AUCAGAGUCCCUGGAGGAAACCCCACAAUGACACAGGGGGAGCAUGCAAACUCCAUACACACGGAACUCGAGCGAAGACUUGAGUACACGUGCCAGAAGAGUGAGGCGACAGUGCAAACCCUGCUUUUUAUUAACUAUCCUUUCUCCUGUUUCCACUGCUCUCCUUUUCCCUGCACAUGAUGAAGGAGGAGGGGAUAAUGAAAAACGGAGGUGGGAGCAGGUUCUGGAUGCUGUACUGAAAGCUGGGACUGGUGUGUUUUACCUGAUUUGCACCAUCAUCACCAUUCAGCUGCACUGGACCUCCUGUAGAAAGCGGGAACCAAUCAGAGAGAAGCAGAGGGUCUCCCUGGAUCAGAGGAAGCUGGCAGAGGAGAUGACCUUCGUGGAGCAGAAUGAGUCAGACGAGCUGUAAAAUAAACGGUUAUGCUAACUGCAGUGAGGCCUCUCUCACUCGGCCCUGCUCAGUCUGUACAGUCAUAGCAUGAGAGUCAGUUAAACACAGAGGGGAUGAUUAUCUGCUGGCAACCUGUACAACCACGUAUUGGCCACUUAUUCACAAGUGCUUUGCUGCCACCUGCUGGUUAAUGUUUAAUAAUCGUUAUCUUGUGAAGGUAAGACUGGUUUUUAUUAAAUUGUCUCUUGAUUCUGAAAAAAUAUGGUACUAUGCAAAAGUCUUGUGCCAUCAAAGAAAACGUUUAAUGCUAUUUAAUUGGGUUGUGUAUAUUUGCUCAGAACAAAAACACAAUUAUCAUAAAAAUAUAUGCAAAUUAAAAGUGACACAAUAAAAACUAACAAGAAUUUCUUCUUUUCUCCAUAAAGUUACUGAUGCCUUGUUGGAUCGCUAGAUGAACCACGCUUUGGAUCCUAAACCUCUCCUCAGGGGCACCCCAGCCAUUCCAUGUAUUUGUUAAAUUCCGCCACCAGCUCACUUAAUUAAUUAAUUUAAUUAAACAAAUGUUAAUGAUGCAUUGAUUAGCCAUAGGAGUUAUGUUAUAAAAAUAUAUAGGUCUAUUGGAUGGUUGGUGCAAAUGUUUUACUAACUUUAGAAGAGAUUUUGAAAUGACUGGGCUGCCACACUUUGACGGACAAAAUAUUAUAAUUCUAGACCAAGAUGAAGAUCAUUUGAACAUCAUUUUCUUCGACAGCCCAAGACUUUUGUACAGUUUUGUAUGUGUCUUUUAUACUGGUCAUUAUUUGUUUAAAUACAUGAUUAAUAAAUUGAUACUUUACAAAACA